CCCCGUCGGGUCCCCCAACCUCAUCCUGUCGUGGCAUCCGGCUCAGGCUCCAGCAUCCUGUCACCGAAAUCAGGCCCAGGUGCGCGUGAGCCGUCCUGGCUGCUGGUCGGGAGUGCAGCUUUGUGAACACGCUCUUCACGUGAGGACCCAUGCCCGAAGCCACCUGCCCCACACCGGACAUGCAGUGGCAGACGCGUGUGGGACAGAUGCCGCGGGCCCUGGGGCUAGAACCAACAGGAUGUUCGUACUUGGACAGAGACAGACUCGUUUCUGCUAAGCUCCCUGACCCGCGGAGGCAAGGCCCUUUCUCCUCCUGCAUCAACUGGAAGGCUGAUGUGUCACUGCUGCAAAAGACCUGGCUUGAGGCCGUGCUCCGCUGAACCCGGCACCGAGGAGCGGGCCGGGCCCGGAGCAGCCCUGUAAUUAAAACCCACCCGCAUCUUCUAGGAUUACAGAGCAGUAUCGUUUAUCUAGGAAAUGGAGAACCCGGCAUAGUUGUGGAGGAGAUUAGAAAGCCCAUCUUUAUUUCAACCCCCAAUCCCUUUCAAGAACUCUUUUUGUGAGCAGGAUCCUCGUUCCUUGAUAAAACUGUAAUGUGUGUCACCCUU